AGGGUGUUGCCUUCAGAAGAGGAUUCCGGAGAAGCUACCGGGUGAGGGGUCAGGUGGGCCCGUUUCAGGCAGUGCCGCCAUCCCAGGUUGAUCCAUAGAGUCAAUGCAAUCUCACUCAGCUUCCCAGCCGGCUUUUCACAGACACCGGCUGAUUCCAACACGCGUGUCGCAAGACCCCAGAGCUGGAGCAGUGAAAACAGCUUCGGGGGACAGCAUCAGGGCCUGAAGCUGCCUGAUUGCCAGCUAGUUUCAUGCACUCGAUUGCCCUCCUUCUAUCUUCCUUGGUGUACUAUCUGUUGAAAUCUGCGUCCAGCUUGUAAAAAUUAGACGUCCGUUGUCUUUA